rnacentral:rRNA from 1 species
GGCCAUUUUCUGUAGAUCAUUUUUCUAGGUUAAGCCAUGCAUGUCUAAGUACGAGCCCCCGUACAGAGCGAAACUGCGAAUGGCUCAUUAAAUCAGUUAUGGUUCCUUUGAUCGUUGACCCUUACAUGGGUAACUGUGGUAAUUCUAGAGCUAAUACAUGCGAAUGAGCGCCGACCUCACCGGGAGGCAUGCUUUUAUUAGGACCAAGACCAAUCCGGGUCUCGCGGCCCGGUCCCACUGGCGAAUUCUGGAUAACUUGGCGGAUCGCACGGCCCCGGCGCCGGCGACGACUCUUUCAAGUGUCUGCCCUAUCGACUUUCGAUGGUACGUUAUGCGCCUACCAUGGUUGUAACGGGUAACGGGGAAUCAGGGUUCGAUUCCGGAGAGGGAGCCUGAGAAACGGCUACCACAUCCAAGGAAGGCAGCAGGCGCGCAAAUUACCCAUUCCCGACACGGGGAGGUAGUGACGAAAAAUAACAAUACAGGACUCUUUCGAGGCCCUGUAAUUGGAAUGAGUACACUUUAAAACCUUUAACGAGGAUCUAUUGGAGGGCAAGUCUGGUGCCAGCAGCCGCGGUAAUUCCAGCUCCAAUAGCGUAUAUUAAAUCUCCACUCCUUCUCACCCCUUCCCCGCCAAGUUUCAGUCUAACCCCGCUGUUUUGAAUGGUAACCUAUAGAAAUAGUGCCCAGAGUUUCAAUCAUUAAAACAAGUUAUACAAGUACAUUGUAACAUGAACUUGUAUAUUCUGCUGUUCUUGGCUGUUCUGGCAGUUUUUGCAAGGGUGGGGGGAAUAAUGGUGACUGGUUUCUCCUGUUACAUUUCACCUGACCCCGAAAUAGUGACUUCUUCAGUACGCCUCAGUUGAAUUCACAUACAGUGACGUGGCACUGCUGAUAGCAUUAACUAGCUUUAUACAUAGACAGUAGAGGGGGGAUCCCUCUACUGUCUAUGCUUUAUACAAACCUUUUUGAUAAACGUGAUCGACAGAUCCACUAAAUUUUUCUCUUGACUUAAAAAACUUUUAAUAUAGCCCUGGCACUUAAUUUGCCAACUCAUUUAUUCAAUAUGUAAACUGAUUCAUUCUCGUGAUAUACCCAACAUCACAAAAAUUUUUGUCUUUA